rnacentral:rRNA from 1 species
AGUGAACGCUGGCGGUAGGCCUAACACAUGCAAGUCGAACGGCAGCACAGUAAGAGCUUGCUCUUACGGGUGGCGAGUGGCGGACGGGUGAGGAAUACAUCGGAAUCUACUUUUUCGUGGGGGAUAACGUAGGGAAACUUACGCUAAUACCGCAUACGACCUACGGGUGAAAGCAGGGGAUCUUCGGACCUUGCGCGAUUGAAUGAGCCGAUGUCGGAUUAGCUAGUUGGCGGGGUAAAGGCCCACCAAGGCGACGAUCCGUAGCUGGUCUGAGAGGAUGAUCGGCCACACUGGAACGGAGACACGGUCCAGACUCCUACGGGAGGCAGCAGUGGGGAAUAUGGGACAAUGGGCGCAAGCCUGAUCCAGCCAUACCGCGUGGGUGAAGAAGGCCUUCGGGUUGUAAAGCCCUUUUGUUGGGAAAGAAAAGCAGCAGGUUAAUACCCCGCUGUUCUGACGGUACCCAAAGAAUAAGCACCGGCUAACUUCGUG